rnacentral:rRNA from 1 species
UACGAAGGGGGCUAGCGUUGCUCGGAAUCACUGGGCGUAAAGGGUGCGUAGGCGGGUCUUUUAAGUCAGGGGUGAAAUCCUGGAGCUCAACUCCAGAACUGCCUUUGAAACUAGACAGCUAGAAUCAUGGAGAGGUGAGUGGAAUUCCGAGUGUAGAGGUGAAAUUCGUAGAUAUUCGGAAGAACACCAGUGGCGAAGGCGGCUCACUGGACAUGUAUUGACGCUGAGGUGCGAAAGCGUGGGGAGCAAACAGG